rnacentral:rRNA from 1 species
GACGAACGCUGGCGGCGUGCUUAACACAUGCAAGUCGAACGAAGAGCUAUGGAGGAUUGCUUCUAUCACUCUUAGUGGCGGCCGUGUGAGUCACGCGUAAUCAACCUUCCCUUCAGAGGGGGACAGCAGUUGGAAACGACUUCUGGUACCGCAUCCGCUCUAAUCUCGGCAUCUAGGAUAGAUGGAAGGUGGCUUCCUCAUGUAAGCUAUCACUGAAGGAGGUGAUUGCGUCUGGUUAGCUAGUUGGAGGGGUAACGGCCCACUUAGGCGAUGGUCAGUAGCCGGACUGCGAGGAUGAACGGCCUGAUUGGGAAGGAGACACGGCUCAGACUGCUACGUGAGGCAGCAGUGGCGGAUCUUUUGCAAUGGACGAAAGGCUGACGGAGGAACGCCGCGUGAGUCAUGACGGCGCUCGGGUUGCAAAGCUCAGUUAAUCGGGACGAAAGGCGUUCUGGCGAUAAGGGAGAAGGAUUGACGGUACCGGAAUAGAAAGACACGGAUAACUACGUG